CCUACGGGAGGCUGCAGUCGAGAAUCAUUCACAAUGGGGGAAACCCUGAUGGUGCGACGCCGCGUGGGGGAAUGAAGGUCUUCGGAUUGUAAACCCCUGUCAUGUGGGAGCAAAUUAAAAAGAUAGUACCACAAGGGGAAGAGACGGCUAACUCUGUGCCAGCAGCCGCGGUAAUACAGAGGUCUCAAGCGUUGUUCGGAAUCACUGGGCGUAAGGCGUGCGUAGGCUGUUUCGUAAGUCGUGUGUGAAAGGCGCGGGCUCAACCCGCGGACGGCACAUGAUACUGCGAGACUAGAGUAAUGGAGGGGGAACCGGAAUUCUCGGUGUAGCAGUGAAAUGCGUAGAUAUCGAGAGGAACACUCGUGGCGAAGGCGGGUUCCUGGACAUUAACUGACGCUGAGGCACGAAGGCCAGGGGAGCGAAAGGGAUUAGAGACCCCAGUAGUC
rnacentral:rRNA from 1 species